GCCGAGAUAGCUCAGUUGGUAGAGCGCAGGACUGAAAAUUCUGGCGUCGACAGUUCAAGUCUGUCUCUCGGCACCA
rnacentral:tRNA from 2 species